GACAGAGGUCCCGAGCGUUAGACGGAAUCACUGGGCUUAAAGCGUGUGUAGGCGGAAGGGUAAGUACCUUGUGAAAUCCCACGGCUCAACCGUGGAACUGCUUGGUAUACUGCUUUUCUUGAGCCACUUAGGGGCAACCGGAACAAAUGGUGGAGACGGUGAAAUGCGUAGAUAUCGUUUGGAACGCCGAUGGUGAAAACAGGUUGCUGGGGCUGCGCUGACGGCUGAGACACGAAAGCCAGGGAGCGAACGGG
rnacentral:rRNA from 1 species